rnacentral:rRNA from 1 species
UACGAAGGGGGCUAGCGUUGUUCGGAAUUACUGGGCGUAAAGCGCGCGCAGGCGGUCUUCCAAGUCAGUGGUGAAAGCCCGGAGCUCAACUCCGGAACUGCCAUUGAAACUGUUGGACUUGAGUACGAGAGAGGUGAGUGGAAUUCCCAGUGUAGAGGUGAAAUUCGUAGAUAUUGGGAAGAACACCGGUGGCGAAGGCGGCUCACUGGCUCGUAACUGACGCUAAGGCGCGACAGCGUGGGGAUCAAACAGG